rnacentral:sRNA from 1 species
ACGGGGAAGGAUGAGAAGCUUCGACUAAGGUUCGAUUCGAGCGCAGCGAGAAAGCGUUGCCGUAGGCAACGACCCGAAGGGCGAAGCGCGCAGCGCUGAGUAAUCCUUCCCCCGUCAUCC